UACAGAGGGUGCGAGCGUCGUUCGGAAUUAUUGGGCGUAAAGCGCGUGUAGGCGGCCUGGCAAGUCGGGUGUGAAAGCCCUCAGCUUAACUGAGGAAGUGCGCCCGAAACUGCUAUGGCUUGAGUGCCGGAGAGGGUGGCGGAAUUCCCCAAGUAGAGGUGAAAUUCGUAGAUAUGGGGAGGAACACCGGUGGCGAAGGCGGCCACCUGGACGGUGACUGACGCUGAGACGCGAAAGCGUGGGGAGCAAACAGG
rnacentral:rRNA from 1 species